AUGCCCUUGUGGUCAGAGUGAUCUUUCCAACACAGACCACGCAUCCCCCCUGCUCACAACCCUUCCAAAUCCCCCAUCUCACUCAGAAUAAAACCUGGAGUCCUGCCUCUCCCAGCUCAGACCCAGCGACUCCCAGCAGCUCGGUUCAAUCCCACUGGCCUUCUUGCUUUUUCUUAAAGAUGCCAGGGGGCUUUCCAUGGGCCUUGCCCUCCUCCUGAAAUGCUCCUACCCCAGACCUUCCUCUGGUCCACCCCACUCCAUUCCCACCCACAUCCUCAGAGAGAGCUUUCCAGACCCCUGUAUUUAACACAAAGGUCCACCUGCUUUUACCUCUUUCUGUCACUGUAACCCGCUUUCCCUUUCCCCAUAAAACCUAGCAGUGGACAAAAUUACGCUUCCUAAUUCAUGUGUUCUCAUCCGUCUCUU
rnacentral:lncRNA from 10 species